rnacentral:lncRNA from 1 species
UUGUCUUCUAAAUUUACUUAAGUUAACAAUUAUAUGAUUAGUAAUUUUCUAAAUGAAAAUUUUGUUUGUUUGAGAUUUGGCAUUGGUUUUCAAACAGAUAUAUCUUUAGACGAAAAUGCCAGUAUCAUGCAACCCAAGCAUCCCUGCAGAGCAAAAUAUAAUGCACUAUUACAAAUUUAUCCAUUUCAUAGCAUCGUGAUGUGAUGUAGUAGAUUCUAAUGAUGUCUGUCACCUGAUUAGCAGUCAUUCAGUUGUUGUUGUAUGUUUGUAUUUCUUAUUAAUGUACAUAUACUUGGUCAUAUGUUUUUGUUUCUUUUUAAUGUACAUUUACUUGGUCAUAUUAUACAUAAUUUGGUUAUCUUGAUUUAGUAAUUUUAUGGUGCUUGGGCUUUUCCCCUGAAGCAUGGGUACUUCUAAAAUGGCGAAGUACCCGUUACGCGUAUGGCACUCGUACCGUACCCAUUUUUACUUGAUUAAUCCAGGGUGGUUGAUAGUACAGCAAAAAUGUACAAGCGAUGGAAAAAUGGCAUAAAUUAUUUUGAUAUUUUGUUGUAUUUCAAUUCUCUUUCUUGCUUAUGAUGGAAAUAGUGGAAGCGGUGGAUAAGAAAUGUAAAUCUAUGAAGCAUGGUGAUGAUAGAAGUGUGGUUAAACACAUAGUUAAAAUACAAAUUACAAACAAUAUAUACUAUUUUUUUGUUUAUCAUAAUUAAUGUUUUUUUUUUCUUUUUCUCACCAUGUUUUUACAACAACAAUGGUUGUAAUUUACUCAAAAUUUUUAAUUUUUUAUAUUAACGUACCCAUAUCUUCAUUUUUCUAAAUUUGCCAUAUUUCGUACAGUACUUGUACCUGUACCUAUGCUUCAUAAGGCUUUUCUCAUUUCCUCCUCACUCUAUUGGCUUGUUUUGGUACUCUGUAUGAUUUUCUGGUGUGUACAUUUCUUAGAACCACAUCACACACAAGUGUAGUGUUUAUCAACAUAUG